CCUAGAUAUAUAAAGUACCGCAAUUACCGCCAUAUUGGCGCCAAAACUAGCGGCAAAUUUAAAAAGGAGGCCAACAUUUCGCUGUUUCGGCUUUUUAAGCAGCUGGUCGGUCCGGCGCCAAUAUGGCCGACCAACAUUGACAGGCAAGCCGUAAAAUAAAAUAUUUAUUAAUUGUAAUAGAAUUACGUUUAUUAUCUACAGUUUACCUUCAUUUUAACGCCUAUAUAUGUUAAGAGGUUAUAAACGAAUGGUUUCCGUACAAGUGUUUUUCAUUUGUAUUAGCAUUUAUUUUAUGUUACCUUUUAGCGCAAAGUACGCCAACAGAAUACUUAAUUCAGUCGAAACAAUUGGAAAAACUUUGUUUGUUGAUGAGAACGGGAUACCUAUACCAUAAGUAAACUUUCCCUAUUAUACCAGUUAUGCUGUAGUUAGUUUUGACAAAUAAGCAUGAUUUAACGAAAGUCUUUGGAACUAUGAAUAAGCUACAAACUUAAAUUUGAAGGCCGGCUUUUAUACGAGAAAAUUUUGAACCAUGGUUGAAACAAAUAAAUGUAAUAAUUAAAUUGAUAUGAUACAUACCUGCUAUUUUUGAAAUAUAUUAAUAUAUUGAUAGAAAGAUUGUUUCAAUUAGUAUUACUUCAGGUAGUUUCGGCAUUUUAGGUAUGUAAUUGUGCACUUAAUUUAAAAAUAACUUAGAAAGAAGCUUGAAACGCAUAGGGGCUCUUUAUGUGUGCUGUAUAAUUAAGGUUUGUAUGUUAUGGAGUCAUUUUUAUACAACAAAUUUAUUAUUAGUUGAAUAAAAGCAAGUUAAUACCACAUAAUUCAA
rnacentral:lncRNA from 1 species